rnacentral:lncRNA from 1 species
AGAGGGGGACCUCAUCUCUGAACCAUGCUGGGUUAGGAGGUGGGAGCCAGCACUUUUCUUCCAGCAGAUUCCAUCCAACCUUGACCUCCACCAUCCAGAUCUGCAGGAGCUUUGGAGACUCAAGAGACAGAUGAGCACACAUGGAAGAGAGAUGCUUGGUGCAGAGUGAGCAGGAGUGAGGAUCUGUGUUCUGCCACUGCAUCCAGCUUGCUGCACAGCCCGAGGCCACAUGAAACAGUGAAGGAGAGGCUGAGCCUGCACACCCACACCAAAAUGCUUUUGACAUUUGGAGAUCUGCAGGAGUGGGUCACUAACUGGUGAGCUUGCUAUUGUCUACCAUGGCUGUUGCAAGACUCAAAGAGAGAGUAAGUGUGGCUAAAGGAAAGCAGGAUAACUCCUUCCUUUUCCAGAGGCUUCCCCUGGGGCUCAGUCCUUCACUCCUCUAAUUCUCUUUUGGACUUCAGCUCCUUCCC